rnacentral:rRNA from 1 species
UACAGAGGGUGCAAGCGUUGUUCGGAAUUAUUGGGCGUAAAGCGCGUGUAGGCGGCUUGGCAAGUCAGAUGUGAAAGCCCUCGGCUUAACCGAGGAAGUGCGUCUGAAACUGCUGAGCUGGAGUCUCGGAGAGGAUGGCGGAAUUCCGCAAGUAGAGGUGAAAUUCGUAGAUAUGCGGAGGAACACCGGUGGCGAAGGCGGCCAUCUGGACGAGUACUGACGCUGAGACGCGAAAGCGUGGGGAGCAAACAGG